UACGGGGGGGGCAAGCGUUGUUCGGAAUUACUGGGCGUAAAGGGCUCGUAGGUGGCCAACUAAGUCAGAUGUGAAAUCCCUCGGCUUAACCGGGGAACUGCGUCUGAUACUGGAUGGCUUGAGUUCGGGAGAGGGAUGCGGAAUUCCAGGUGUAGCGGUGAAAUGCGUAGAUAUCUGGAGGAACACCGGUGGCGAAGGCGGCAUCCUGGACCGACACUGACACUGAGGAGCGAAAGCCAGGGGAGCAAACGGG
rnacentral:rRNA from 1 species